UACAGAGGGGGCGAGCGUUGUUCGGAAUUACUGGGCGUAAAGGGCGCGUAGGCGGCCUUCUAAGUCGGACGUGAAAUCCCUCGGCUCAACCGGGGAACUGCGUCCGAUACUGGGUGGCUUGAAUUCGGGAGAGGGAUGCGGAAUUCCUGGUGUAGCAGUGAAAUGCGUAGAUAUCGUAAGGAAGACCAGUGGCGAAGGCGAGUCUCUGGACAGUUACUGACGCUGAGGCACGAAGGCCAGGGGAGCAAACGGG
rnacentral:rRNA from 1 species